rnacentral:rRNA from 1 species
UACAGAGGUCCCAAGCGUUGUUCGGAUUCAUUGGGCGUAAAGGGUGCGUAGGCGGCGCGGUAAGUCGGGUGUGAAAUCUCGGGAGCUUAACUCCGAAACUGCAUUCGAUACUGCCGUGCUUGAGGACUGGAGAGGAGACUGGAAUUUACGGUGUAAGCGGUGAAAUGCGUAGGAUAUCGUAAGGAAGAACCAGUGGCGAAGGACGGGU